UAGCCUAGUGGAUAAGGCUAUGGAUCGCCAAUCCGGAGACGGCGGGUUCAAUUCCCGU
rfam:Aedes albopictus isolate Foshan contig18305, whole genome shotgun sequence.